rnacentral:tRNA from 1 species
GGUUUCAUGGUGUAGUGGUUAUCAUGUCUGCUUUACAGGCAGAAGGCCCUGAGUUCGAUCCUCAGAGAAACCA